GGGCAGAUAAGAUGAAGAGAGGGGGUAGUGUGAAUGCGUAUGAGAAUGAAUGAAUAAAUGUGUGAAUGAAUUGUGUGAAUGCGUAUGACAAUUAAUGAAUUCAUGUGAGGAUGAAUUGCUUGAAUGAUUUGUGAGACUGCAUUAAUGAAUGAUGGGCUUUAACAAUAAAUAAAUAAAUAAAUAAAUAUGGGCUGCUCAGGCUUAAAUGCCCGGGCCCAUUUUUUGUCCCAGUCCGGGCCUGGGUCUGAGUAAAAGCAAAUCAGAGUGGCUAAAUGGUGAAUAAGAUGAGAAUAAGAAAUAAUUAAACAAUGAACCAAGAGAACUAACUAAUGAAGAAAAGUCCAGAGACCAAACAUAUGAAUACAAGAAUGUUUAUUUAUAAGAAGACUGGCAGCCUGGAACAGCUGCAGCAAGGAAGGGGUUAACUGAUGGAGCACAAGGGAGAACUCCAGAAGAGAGAACGCGCGGAAAUAAAUAAUCAAAGACGCAAUGGAAAUAAAUAUUUAAAGAUGCGAUUGUGGAAAUAAAUAUUUAAAGACAGAUAACAAGAGGAGGGAAGAAGCAGAAGACGACACUGGAACAUCAGACGAGGUAAGAACUGAGAGGGAGAGGAGGGGAGAGAAAAGGCCAAAAAAGAAAGGGAAAGACUAAUGGAUAAAAGUGAAGAGGAAGAAGGGCCACACGCUAAACAGCGCGAUUACGGCCUAAAUAGGGAGCCACAUAGCUGGCAAGGUAAGCAGCCAAAACCCAGUUGUACCAAAGGGAGACCAGAUAUAUAGGAAAAA